rnacentral:lncRNA from 1 species
CCAGCAACGCACGCUGUGCGUGCAGCAGCCAGCGCACGCUCACGUGCAACAGCCAGCACACGCAGCAGGCAGCGCGAGCAGGAGCUUUCCGUGCAGCGCGAGGGAGGUGUUUGGCACGUUUCCGGUGUGUCGGCGACGGCAAACUCGACGUUGAUAGCGGCUGUCCGGUGAGAUUGGCCUGAACAGUGGCCGUUUGUGCUGGUGGCGGCUGGGGAAGAAGAGGAAAAGAAAAAUGUGAUUUUAGGGUUCCAUGGUUUUUAUCGUGGAGGUCCCUAUAGCUUCAUAUUUUUCAGUUGGGCAGAAACGUUUUUUAAUUUUUUGCAUUUAAGUCCGAAAACGGUUUUGGGCUUAAAGAAUCCUAGUUUUAGGCCCAAUUUCAAUUGGGCUUAAUGGAUUAAAAUGCAUAGAUAAAAUUAAAUACAUUAAAUUUAUUUUUGGUCCAAAAGUUUUAUUUUAAUAAAAAAAAAUUUUUAUUUUAUUUUCUUUCAAAAUUAAAAUUGGACCAAUUAUAAAUUUAAAUGCCCAAUUUCUCCUAGUCCAUUAACAAAGUCAAGCUUAUGAAGGAUGGACAUUGACAAGAAGCCCAAUGAAGAUUAGGCUUAGGGUUAAUGUAUUUUUUUCAUUAUUAGGAAAGCCAUGAAUUAAGAUUAUUUAAUUGUUUUUCUAUAUGUUAUGUUUUGGAUGAUAACAUGCCAUGAUAACAUGUCAUAUAGAAUAGGUAGUGCCACUCUAUGCAUAAUGAUACAUGUCAUUCAUUAAUUAUGAAUUUCAUUAUAUUGUUUGAAAUUUGCACAUGCUUAAUAAUAUUUGAUAUCAUCUAGAUAAUAUUAUAGGAAGCAUGCAAUUAACAAUAUGUAUGUUUUAAAAAGGAAAAAUCAAUUUUAAAAUAUUGAGUGGGAGAGGGAAAAUUCAAGAUAAUUUUCCCACGGGCUCCAUUGUUAGUUCAAUAAUAAAAUUAUAUAUAUACCUCGACUUCAUGAUACGGUGAUGCUCCCUUCGGAGGGUAUAUAUAUUAGAUAUUUUAUUUGAUGAACUUCUUCAAAGAUAAAAUUGAAAUAUUUUUCAAUCGAUUGUUCACCCCAACGGUGACUAUUGAUAUGAAAAAUACGUAGAUUGAAAUAAUGGUUAUACACUCAACUAAAGUUUGUUAUUAACCUUCCCAACGAAGCUCUGUUAACAAAUUUAGGCCCAAAUGGAUAACGAUAAUUAUUUAUCAUGUCUCUACAUGAAAGUAAAUAAUCUAAUGGAUAAUUGGGUCUAGUAAGUGUAGACAUGACUUCCCCAACGGAUAGCUUGUCAAAGCGGUACUAGAUUAUCGUUACAAUAAAUUAAAAUGCAUUUAUGGUUUUUUUUUGCAUUUUUGUCAUUUAUUGUGAAUAUUAUUUCAAAUUAUUUAUGCAUGGAUGUUUUAUUUUUCAGAAAAUGUCUUCCCUGAGCCCACUUACUAUUAUUCUGAGUCAAAACAAACUCACUGGAGAGAACUAUAUAGAUUGGAAAAGAAAUCUAUUCAUUGUCCUGACUGCUGAAAAUUAUAAAUAUGUCUUAACCCAGCCAUGCCCCCCAGUUCCAGCAGAUGAUGCUCAUAGAAAUCAGAGGAGGCUUUAUGAGAAAUGGCAAAAGGCCAAUGAAAUGGCAAAGUGCUACAUUUUAGCCUCGAUUUCUAAUAUUCUGCAGACCAAACAUCAGAACUUGGAGACUGCCACUGAAAUAAUGGAUAGUCUCCAACAGAUGUUCGGGCAGAGUACUCGCUCUGCGAGACAAGCAGCGCUGAAAGGAAUUAUGAACAGUAAAAUGGGGAAGGGCACAAGAGUUCGUGAUCAUGUCCUCAAAAUGAUGGACUAUUUGAAUGAGGCUGAGAUUCAGGGAGCACAAAUCGAUGAUAACUCAAAGAUUGACAUGGUGCUAGAAUCUCUGCCAGAAACAUUCAAGGAGUUUAAGGUCAAUUAUAACAUGAACAAAAGAAAUAUGACCUUAACUGAAUUGAUGAACGAACUCCAUUCUGCUGAAGAGAUCUAUCGUGCUGAGAAAUCUCUGGGAAGCAUAAAUAUUACUGAAAAAAGUUCAUCUUCUGGGCCUAAACCGAAAGGCAAAGGUAAGAAGAAAGCUGGGAAAAAGAGACCGUCUACCAAGCAAGAUGGCAAGCCGAAAGGCAAAUGCUUCAAGUGUGGACAGAAAGGUCACUGGAAAAAGGAUUGCCCUAAGAUUGUGAAAUCAGGUAUGGGAAAUCUUUUUGUAAUUGAGGCCUGUUUAGUUUAGAAUCCUAUUGACACUUGGGUGUUGGAUUCAGGAGCAACUAAUCAUAUUUGUAAUUCACUUUAUUGGUUUCAGGAAACCAGGAAAAUAAGUGAAGGAAGCGUCAAGCUGCAGUUAGGGACAGGACAGUUCGUGUCAGCAGUAAAGACUGGAUCUGUUUUAUUAUCUUUUAAUAAUGAGACUUUAGUUUUGAAUAAUUGUCUUUAUGUUCCAGACAUUAAGAGGAAUUUAAUUUCAGUAGCUUGUUUGUCAAAGCAAGGGUACACUGUAAAUUUUGGAUCCUCUGUUUCUAUUUUUCAUAAUAAGAGACUUAUUUGUUCUGGUACAUUGGAAGAUAAUUUAUAUCAUUUAAGUCCAAUGAUCCAUUCUAUGCAUGACACAGUGAUAAAUAAUGAUGAGCAUACACAUUUAUCUAAGAAAAAAAUAUUUCUUCCAACCAAUGUUACCUCUGGCAUUUACGCUUGGGUCAUAUAAACCAAAAUAGGAUACAGAGAAUGAUCAAAGAUGGGCUCUUGGGUCCAUUAGAAAAUGAAUCAUUGCCACUCUGUGAAUCCUGUUUAGAAGGAAAAAUGACCAAAAGGCCAUUCUCGGCCAAAGGAGUACGUGCAACAGUACCACUUGAAUUGGUACAUACAGAUGUAUGUGGACCAAUCAAUGUACAAGCUUGAGGAGGUUAUGAGUAUUUCAUCACUUUUACUGAUGAUUACUCAAGAUACGGUUAUGUUUAUCUGAUGCGUUAUAAGUCUGAAGCUCUUGAGAAAUUCAAAGAGUAUAGGGCUGAGACAGAAAAGCAAUUAGAUAAGAACAUAAAGAAACUUCGAUCUGAUCGAGGUGGUGAAUUUCUCUCAGGAGAUUUCAAAGAGUAUCUGGUUGAAAAUGGGAUUAUAUCUCAAUUGACUGCCCCGGGAACACCACAACAAAAUGGGGUAGCUGAAAGAAGAAAUAGAACUCUUUUGGAUAUGGUGAGAUCUAUGCUUAGUUAUUCGUCAUUACCAAUCUCUUUUUGGGGACUAGCACUGGAAACUGCAGUUUACCUUUUGAACUUAGUUCCAUCUAAGUCAGUGCCUAAAACCCCAAUAGAAUUAUGGUCAGGUCGCAAACCAAGUUUACGACAUGUCCGUAUUUGGGGAUCACCAGCACAUGUACUGAAACCAAAGGCAGACAAAAUGGAUUCACGUUCUGAGGUUUGUAUGUUUGUGGGGUAUCCCAAAGGAACAAGGGGAGGUUUAUUUUAUAGUCUUCAAGAUAGGAAAGUGAUCGUGAGCACACAUUUCACUUCCCUNNNNNNNNNNNNNNNNNNNNNNNNNNNNNNNNNNNNNNNNNNNNNNNNNNNNNNNNNNNNNNNNNNNNNNNNNNNNNNNNNNNNNNNNNNNNNNNNNNNNGAACAGGAAGAACAGCAACAACCAGAUGAUCAACACAGGAUUAACCCUGAACAACCAUCACUUUUAGAACCUCGUCGUAGUGGGAGGGUAACUAGGUUACCUGCGAGAUACAUGCUUUUGGGAGAAACCUAUACGGCUAUCUCAGAUGAACAUGUACAAGAUCCCACUAGUUACAACGAAGCUCUAAUAGAUAGAGAUGUUGAAUUUUGGAAAAAGGCCAUGAAUCAAGAAAUGGAUUCUAUGUAUUCCAAUAAAGUCUGGGAACUUGUAGAGGCACCAAAUGGGGUAAAACCUAUAGGGUGCAAGUGGAUCUACAAGAGAAAAAGAGGAGUAGACGGAAGGGUGGAAACAUUUAAAGCAAGAUUAGUAGCCAAAGGGUUUACUCAGAAAGAGGGAAUCGAUUAUGAGGAAACUUUUUCUCCGGUUGCUAUGCUUAAAUCCAUCAGGAUUCUGCUCUCCAUUGCUGCAAUGCUAGAUUAUGAAAUUUGGCAAAUGGAUGUCAAGACUGCUUUUCUUAACGGGCAUCUUGAAGAAAACAUUUACAUGCAGCAACCAGAUGGAUUUAUACAAAAAGGCCAAGAACACAUGGUAUGUAAGUUGCAGAAAUCCAUUUAUGGAUUGAAACAAGCAUCCCGGUCAUGGAACAUCAGAUUUGAUCAAGCGAUUAAAUCGUUUGGAUUCAUUCAGAACAUUGAUGAACCAUGUGUGUACAAGAAAAUUCAAGAAAAAUCUGUAGCCUUCCUAAUUCUUUAUGUAGACGAUAUUCUCCUAAUUGGAAACGAUAUAGGAGUAUUGACUACAAUAAAGAGUUGGUUAGCGAAACAAUUUGAUAUGAAAGACCUGGGAGAGGCAAGUUAUAUUCUUGGUAUCAAGUUACUACGAGACCGAAAGAAUAAAACUUUAGCCUUGUCUCAAGCGGUCUAUAUCGAUAAGAUAUUGGCUAGAUUUAGCAUGGAAAAUUCCAAGACUGGUUUAUUACCAUUCAGACAUGGAAUUACAUUCUCUAAGGAUCAAUCACCUAAAACAUCUGAAGAGAUAGAGAGAAUGAGACGAGUUCCCUAUGCAGAAGCUGUGGGAAGUCUCAUGUAUGCCAUGCUUUGCACUAGGCCAGACAUCUGUUUUGCGGUAGGGAUGGUUAGUAGAUAUCAAUCUAAUCCUGGACCUGAACACUGGACUGCGGUCAAGCAUAUAAUGAAGUAUCUGAAAAGAACUAAAAAUUAUAUGCUUGUGUAUUCUGGCGAUGAACUCAUUCCAGUGGGUUAUACUGAUUCUGACUUUAUGUCAGAUAAGGAUUCCAGAAAAUCAACUUCCGGCUAUGUGUUUACAUUGGGAAGUGGAGCUAUUAGUUGGAGGAGUGUGAAACAAUCUUGUAUCGCAGACUCCACAACUGAAGCUGAAUAUGUGGCUGCAUCCGAAGCUGCAAAAGAAGCUGUAUGGCUCCGCAAGUUCCUACAAGAUCUUGAGGUGGUACCUGCUGUAACUGCACCCCUUAAACUAUUUUGCGAUAAUAGUGGUGCGGUAGCUCAAUCUAAGGAACCAAGGAACCACAAGAAACAAAAACAUAUUGAGAGGAAGUAUCAUCUUAUAAGGGAUAUAGUGCAGAGAGGUGAUGUGGAGGUUACUCAGAUUGCGUCACAGCAAAACUUGGCAGAUCCUUUUACUAAGGCCAUACCUGGGAAACCUUUUAACUUGCACUUAGAAUCCAUGGGCAUGCGUGAGAUGCCAGAUAUGCUUUGAGAGCUAGUGGGAGAUUGUUGGGAAAAUAUGCUCUUUAAAAGCAUAUGUGUUUAUUUAAUUGUAAUAAAUAAUUUUUCUGAUUAAUAAAAUAAAUGAGGUAUUUUAUUCAAAUAUCUUAAUUGCAUUAAUAUUUGUAUUAAAUUCCAUUUAAUCAUAUUAUAUGUAUUUAUGUGAUCACCAUAUGGAUUCACAGAAGACAUAAAUACAAGUUAUCUUAUGAUUAAAUAAAUUUAGUUCGCAGUUGAUAAAUAAAGUUGGGCACUUUAUUUAGGUAUAGACUGUAAUAAAUUCAUUGAAUGAUUUGUCUUAAUCAUGUAUGAAUUUAUUGAUGUAGUACGACUACAUUGAACAGGAUCACAUAUGAGAUUUAAUUAACUUUGUAAUAACUGUCAGACUUAUUAAAUCUCAUAGGCGUUGAUUUUACUGUAAUCUUAAUCUUGAGUUAAUUAUGAUUUCAUGAUUGCGAUUGUUAUUUCAUUUGAGUUACCAAUGGGCACGACACAUCCUUGUGGUCAAGAUUACCCGGUAUCUUGGUGGGAGCAAUUAUGAGUAUUGGAGUUAUGGAUUAACAAUAUAGAAUUUGUACAACACAUCUCUUGAUAGGUUUUCGGUACUUGAUCAUAGAAUUCUCUGGCCAGAGUGUGUCAACAUAUUUAGUAUGUUGAAAAUGAUCAUUAGAGAAAACCAGUAAGGAUCAAGGAAUAAGAUGUUAUUAAAUUGAUUGGACAGUUGAGAUAUCAAUUUAAUUAACGAUGUGGUACAAAGGAUUGUGCAGUAAAGAAAUCAAUGUGGCUUGGGACGAAUUAUUAUUCGAGCAUACAAUUAUGGAAGUCAGUUCCAAUCUUUUAGUGGAGUAGAUUUGAAAUUAAAUAAUUGGGCUAGUUUAAUUACAUGCCUAAUUAUUGUAGCCACUAUUGUAUGUUCCCAAAUGAUCCCCGGGUUAGCUCAUUUAAUUGACUGCACCACUACUGGACUAAUAAGCAAGAUAACUAGCUAUUUGGGUCAAAAGCCUAAAUAUAUCAUUUAGUGGGAGGCUCCAUUUAAUAAGCUUAUGUAUAAGGGGCCUUAUGUUAUUUUACAUGGUGGGUCCCCUAUUAAAUGAAAAGUAACGUGAGUUUUAUUUUGGGCAUUAUUUGGAGCCUAGGGUUUUCACUAAAGGGAGAUAUAUAAGGCUUAUUUUUCUCAACAAAAAAAAACAAGCAGCCACUUUAUACAGAUCAGAGAAUAAGAUUUUUCUCUCCAUUAUUGAGAGAAAAAUUUUCUCGUGCUAGUUGCUUUGGUAGUGAUAAAGGCGCCCACACGUCAAGUGCAGAUCGAACCUGAGUCAUAACCUGGAAGAUCAUUGGUGACAGUUCGUGAUCUAGCAAGCGUGGUGGCGACGGAUCGUGAUCUAACAGGAGUGGUGGUGGCAGAUCGUGAUCUAGGAGCCUAAAUCACUUCAGCGGAAAAAGCCAACUCGGAUUUUUAAGGUACGAUUUCUAGAAUACGAAUUCUUAUAUAUUAUAUGAGAGCGAUCUUCAAAAGGUUUUAUAAAAAUUUUAAGAACCUAAUUUUUCCCCAACACAUAUAUCUGAGCCAUCUCAUAUUAAUAUAUAAGAAUUUCGUAUGAAAUCAUUCUUGAAAUUUAUGUAUUAGAGUGGCACAAUUUAUUCAGAUAUAUAUUAAUUGUUUAAUAUAUGAAUAAAGCAUGUUUUGUUUUGUCUUAAUUCAUGGUUAGAUUUUCCGUUGUAUUUUUUCUUUGGAUCUAUAACAAGAGGGGUGAUUUUUUAUCAUCAUAUUUCCCUCUUGAUUUAUUUUACUGUUAUAGAAUUUUUGUAAGCCAAAAAUUGGCCUAGGAAAUUUGUAAAUUAAUCUCGGAUUUUCAAGAUCUAAGCGACGGAGGCCGGAAAUUUUGACAGCGGCAACCAGCAGCAAGCAGCGUGCGGCCAGCAGCACAUGCUGCAGCAAGCGCGCGCUGCACGCGCAGCGGCAGCAGCGCGCGCUGCAAGCCAGCAGCCAGCAACGCACGCUGUGCGUGCAGCAGCCAGCGCACGCUCACGUGCAACAGCCAGCACACGCAGCAGGCAGCGCGAGCAGGAGCUUUCCGUGCAGCGCGAGGGAGGUGUUUGGCACGUUUCCGGUGUGUCGGCGACGGCAAACUCGACGUUGAUAGCGGCUGUCCGGUGAGAUUGGCCUGAACAGUGGCCGUUUGUGCUGGUGGCGGCUGGGGAAGAAGAGGAAAAGAAAAAUGUGAUUUUAGGGUUCCAUGGUUUUUAUCGUGGAGGUCCCUAUAGCUUCAUAUUUUUCAGUUGGGCAGAAACGUUUUUUAAUUUUUUGCAUUUAAGUCCGAAAACGGUUUUGGGCUUAAAGAAUCCUAGUUUUAGGCCCAAUUUCAAUUGGGCUUAAUGGAUUAAAAUGCAUAGAUAAAAUUAAAUACAUUAAAUUUAUUUUUGGUCCAAAAGUUUUAUUUUAAUAAAAAAAAAUUUUUAUUUUAUUUUCUUUCAAAAUUAAAAUUGGACCAAUUAUAAAUUUAAAUGCCCAAUUUCUCCUAGUCCAUUAACAAAGUCAAGCUUAUGAAGGAUGGACAUUGACAAGAAGCCCAAUGAAGAUUAGGCUUAGGGUUAAUGUAUUUUUUUCAUUAUUAGGAAAGCCAUGAAUUAAGAUUAUUUAAUUGUUUUUCUAUAUGUUAUGUUUUGGAUGAUAACAUGCCAUGAUAACAUGUCAUAUAGAAUAGGUAGUGCCACUCUAUGCAUAAUGAUACAUGUCAUUCAUUAAUUAUGAAUUUCAUUAUAUUGUUUGAAAUUUGCACAUGCUUAAUAAUAUUUGAUAUCAUCUAGAUAAUAUUAUAGGAAGCAUGCAAUUAACAAUAUGUAUGUUUUAAAAAGGAAAAA